GAUGAACGCUGGCGGCGUGCCUAAUACAUGCAAGUCGAGCGAACAGACGAGGAGCUUGCUCCUCUGACGUUAGCGGCGGACGUGUGAGUAACACGUGGAGAACCUACCUAUAAGACUGGGAUAACUUCGGGAAACCGGAGCUAGUACCGGAUAAUAUAUUGAACCGCAUGGUUCAAUAGUGAAAGACGGUUUUGCUGUCACUUAUAGAUGGAUCCGCGCCGCAUUAGCUAGUUGGUAAGGUAACGGCUUACCAAGGCAACGAUGCGUAGCCGACCUGAGAGGGUGAUCGGCCACACUGGAACUGAGACACGGUCCAGACUCCUACGGGAGGCAGCAGUAGGGAAUCUUCCGCAAUGGGCGAAAGCCUGACGGAGCAACGCCGCGUGAGUGAUGAAGGUCUUCGGAUCGUAAAACUCUGUUAUUAGGGAAGAACAAAUGUGUAAGUAACUAUGCACGUCUUGACGGUACCUAAUCAGAAAGCCACGGCUAACUACGUG
rnacentral:rRNA from 1 species